rnacentral:pre_miRNA from 1 species
AGAUGCAGGUUGGGUCUUUAUGGAAUCUAUAUCACAUAAGGCACAACGUUGGCAUCUCU